UACAUGUGGGGCAAGCGUUGUUCGGAAUUACUGGGCAUAAAGGGUGCGUAGGUGGUUUGUUAAGUCAGGGGUGAAAUCCCGCGGCCCAACCGUGGAACUGCCUUUGAUACUGGCGAACUUGAGUGCGUGAGGGGUAGGGGGAACGAGCAGUGUAGCGGUGAAAUGCGUAGAUAUUGCUCGGAAGGCUAGAGCCGAAGGGGCCCUACUGGUGCGCAACUGACACUGAGGCACGAAAGCGUGGGGAGCAAACAGG
rnacentral:rRNA from 1 species